rnacentral:tRNA from 1 species
GCCUUUCGUUUACACCGAAAUCAUGCCUAAUAAAACUAGGUCACUCUG